rnacentral:tRNA from 2 species
GGAGAGGUACUCAAGCGGUAAAGAGGAUAGUUUGCUAAACUAUUAGGUCAAUUAAUUUGAUACGAGGGUUCAAAUCCCUUCCUCUCUUCCA